rnacentral:rRNA from 1 species
AUGCUCAAAAUAGAUUUGGCUAAAGCUUUCGACUGGUUAGAAUGGGACUUCAUCACCUCGGCUUUGCAACGUAAAGGGUUGCAUGGCCAUUUCAUAAAGCUUAUCCAUGCCUGUAUCUCCUCGCCGACUUUUUCUGUUAACAUAAAUGGACAAUCUUUUCUACACUUUAAAAGUAGUCGAGGUAUCAGGCAGGUGUGUCCACUCUCUCCUUUAUUGUUUGUGCUUGCAGUGAAUGCCCUCCUAUCCACCCUUUAA